rfam:Bacillus galactosidilyticus strain PL133 scaffold000135, whole genome shotgun sequence.
AGACCCUUUAAAACAGUCCCGUGAGGCUGACAAGGUGAACGCACUUAUGAUAAGUGUAGAUUUUUGCAUAUUCAAAUGGAUAUUAAUCCGACUAUUAUGCACCUUGCCAGUCAUUGGACAAGGUGCUUUUUGCU